rnacentral:rRNA from 1 species
UCAAAAACAUCGCCGUAGAAUCAACCUCCGGUCUGUCUGCCCAGUGAUCUUUUAACGGCCGCAGUAUCCUGACUGUGCUAAGGUAGCAUAAUAAUUAGCUUUUUCAUUGAAAGCUCGAAUGAAUGACCCGACGAAAAAUCCCCUGUCUCAGCACUUCUGCUAACUUUCUCUUAGAGUCAAAAAGCUCUAUAAAUUUAAAAGGACGACAAGACCCUAUAAAACUUUACCCCUUUACCGCGCCGCUUAAACUCUAACGGAACCUGGGGUUGUACUGGGGCGGUAAUUUAACUAUAAACAUAAAUCACUCCAACGUCCUAAACGAAGCCAACGAACACUAUUCAGUAACUAAGAACAAGUUACUUUAGGGAUAAC